rnacentral:misc_RNA from 1 species
GGAAGCUCAACUACGUCGAGCCUCUAGCACAAUUUAGUUCAACAACACUUGCUAAUUUACGUAAAAUAGGAGCUCAUUCGAUAGGAAAAAAACAUAUUUUGUGCAAUAUCAUGACCCCUUGGACAAUUUUUGUGCAGUCAUGAGACUUUUAGUCAACCAGAUUGCUGUCUCUCUAGAUGACAUUCCAUCAUCUCCGAAUGGUUUCAACACACCAGCAAGCUCAUCGAUUUUUUCCUGCUUAAGUAGUCGUGCACAGACCUCCAAAAGGGACUCUAAAGCUUCAGCUCUUUGUAAAGUAGGAUUUCCCCAAUCGUCUUUGUCCUCCUUACUAGCUAACGCGGCUAGUGACUUGAGCUGUGACACCUUAUCAUCCAGUGCUCGAAGAGCAUCUUUCUUGGACUGUUUGCUGUCACAAACCAUGGUUGUUUUCUUUUCUAGCUCGUCUUUAUGUAGAAGUGAACCAUCACUUUCAGAUGACAUGCAGUCAAUAGUAACUUCUAUACACUCACUACCAUUUUCAGUUUCAGCAGCAUAGCAUCUUGGUGCUGCCUCUGUAUCUGGUUUUGCAGGCUGUGAAUUUGAUGAAGUGCUUUCUUCAUCAUAGCAUCGUGUUUUAGCGUUGGAUCUUCCAUUAGACAAUGUCAUUCUGCUACACUUUUCGGAGAUACAUUCUACUAUAUCUGCUUCCUCAUUGUCCAGUGGACUGCUCAACACCUCAAGUUCUUUUGUCUUGCUACUCUUCCUAUCAUCCUCUUCAAAUCGUCUAACAUGCUCCGGAGAAGCAUGCUCUUGUUCCUCGGACCAUAUUUUUGCCAUUGAACUUGAAGAGCUUGGAGUGAUAGUAGUUUCUGCUUGCGAGAUGGUCUCCGGUUGAUCAUAUCCAUUGCAAACAGCUGCCUCACUCAUCUCCCCACUUUUAGAAUCCUCACUAUCUUGAGAGAUCCUAACUGAGUAGCUUGUUGGAUCAACUCUCUUAGUCUCAAUUUUAGCUCGGAACGUGUUAUAAUUAUCUGACAAGUUUCUUGGCUGGAUAUUAUCACUUUCAUCAAAGUAAAGGACAGUUCUUUUCUCUUUUAACUUCAGCUGUCUGUCUCUGCUAUCUCUCGGAGUGAUAGAUUUUCCAGGUGAUGGUCGUGUUUUCUCUUUCGUGCUGCUUGGGGACUUCACAGGAAGAAACACAGAUGAAGGGUUGUGACACGACAAGAGGUUAUCUGAUAAGUUUCUUGGCUGGAUGUUAUCACUUUCAUUGAAGUAUAGGACAGUUCUUUUCUCUUUUAGCUUCAGCUGUCUGUCUCUGCUCUCUCUUGGACUGACAGAUUUUCCAGGUGAUGA